rnacentral:lncRNA from 1 species
AGUCUUCUCCUUGAUACCAACCAUGUCACUCAACGCACCAAACUUCAUCGCUGGCACAAACCUAUAUUGCCCAUAUUAACAAACACAAAAGUGAGUAAAAGCAUUCAUCUUUUUUUUAACCACUGGUUCCGUAGAUUACUCUGAGCAGCUGGUCUCCAUAGCCUCAUCGAUGAUGAUGAUGAUGAUGAUAAACUCGCCGGAGAUGGAGAUGGAGAUGGAGAAGCAGGCGGAGGAAACUGUGAGAUGCUCAUCGCUUUUGAGCUAAACGGCAACUCAAAAAAAAAACUCUAUAGACGCCGGCCGGCGAGAGCUAUUCUUAUGGGGCUUAUGAAGAAU